UACGUAGGGGGCAAGCGUUGUCCGGAAUCAUUGGGCGUAAAGCGCGUGUAGGCGGCUCGAUAAGUCUGCUGUGAAAGUCCAAGGCUCAACCUUGGGAUGCCGGUGGAUACUGUCGAGCUCGAGUCCGGAAGAGGAGUGUGGAAUUCCUGGUGUAGCGGUGAAAUGCGCAGAUAUCAGGAGGAACACCAAUGGCGAAGGCAGCUCGCUGGGACGGUACUGACGCUGAGGCGCGAAAGCGUGGGAGCAAACAGG
rnacentral:rRNA from 1 species